rnacentral:pre_miRNA from 15 species
UAACCGCAGGGAACUGCUGCUGCUGAUAUACUAUAUGUAUUUGUCAGUACUCUAUAUCACAGUGGCUGUUCUUUUUGGUUGC